rnacentral:sRNA from 1 species
GCUGGGUGCAGUAACUAAUGUCUGUAAUCCCAGCAACGUAGGAGGCUGAGGCAGGAGGACUGCAAGUUCAAGGCCAGCCUCAGCAAUUUAGUGAGGCCCUAGAUAACUUAGUGAGAUCCUGUCUCAA